AACUUUAUUCACACGCGCGCGGCGGCGUCAGCGUCAGCGGGGCGGGAAAAGGCCCGUGUGUGUGUGGGUGGAUGGAUGGCGGCGGGAGUCAGGAGCAGCAUCCAAGGGGAAAAUGCUGACAACUUCCAAUUUCCUGGCCGUUUGCAAUUGUGGAGGUACAAAUCACGCCUAGAAUCAUAUCUGAUGUUCAUAAUACCCUUCUGCUCAACUUAACAGAACUGAACCGAGGUGAAUGUGCUUUUGUAUUGGGAUGUACUGAGCUGUAUGCAAAAAAUGUAUUGCACUGUACCUGCUAUGCAUGACAAUAAAGAAACCAUUGACGUUGA